CCUACGUGGGGCAGCAGUGAGGAAUAUUGGUCAAUGGGCGCGAGCCUGAACCAGCCAAGUAGCGUGAAGGAUGACUGCCCUACGGGUUUUAAACUUCUUUUUUAAAGGAAUAAAGUGAGGCACGUGUGCCUUUUUGUAUGUACUUUCUGAAUAAGGAUCGGCUAACUCCGUGCCAGCAGCCGCGGUAAUACGGAGGAUGCGAGCGUUAUCCGGAUUUAUUGGGUUUAAAGGGAGCGUAGAUGGGUUGUUAAGUCAGUUGUGAAAGUUUGCGGCUCAACCGUAAAAUUGCAAUUGAUACUGGCAGUCUUGAGUACAGUUGAGGUAGGCGGAAUUCGUGGUGUAGCGGUGAAAUGCUUAGAUAUCACGAAGAACUCCGAUUGCGAAGGCAGCUUACUAAACUGCCACUGACAUUGAUGCUCGAAAGUGUGGGUAUCAAACAGGAUUAGAUACCCGAGUAGUC
rnacentral:rRNA from 1 species